rnacentral:rRNA from 1 species
CCUACGGGAGGCAGCAGUGAGGAAUAUUGGUCAAUGGGCGGAAGCCUGAACCAGCCAAGUCGCGUGAGGGAUUAAGGCCCUGCGGGUCGUAAACCUCUUUUGCCGGGGAGCAGUGGUCCGGACGUGUCCGGGCCGGGAGAGUACCCGGAGAAAAAGCAUCGGCUAACUCCGUGCCAGCAGCCGCGGUAGUACGGAGGAUGCGAGCGUUAUCCGGAUUUAUUGGGUUUAAAGGGUGCGUAGGCGGGCAUUUAAGCCGGCGGUCAAAUGUCGGGGCUCAACCCCGGCCUGCCGUCGGAACUGGGUGCCUUGAGUGGGAGAGAGGUAUGCGGAAUGCGUGGUGUAGCGGUGAAAUGCAUAGAUAUCACGCAGAACCCCGAUUGCGAAGGCAGCAUACCGGCGCCCUACUGACGCUGAGGCACGAAAGUGCGGGUAUCGAACAGGAUUAGAUACCCCGGUAGUC